rnacentral:rRNA from 1 species
UAAAACGUGGGAGGCGAGCGUUAUCCGGAAUUAUUGGGCGUAAAGGGCCCGCAGGCGGCACAUUAAGUCAGAUGUGAAAUCUCCCGGCUCAACUGGGAGGGGACAUUUGAAACUGAUGAGCUUGAGGACAGCAGGGGGAAGCGGAACUCCCGGUGUAGCGGUGAUAUGCGUAGAUAUCGGGAGGAACACCAGUGGCGAAGGCGGCUUCCUGGGCUGUUUCUGACGCUGAGGGGCGAAAGCGUGGGGAGCAAACCGGAUUAGAUACCCGGGUAGUCCACGCCGUAAACGAUGGAUACUAGGUAUGGGGGGUAUCGACCCCUCCCGUGCCGAAGCUAACGCCAUAAGUAUCCCGCCUGGGGACUACGGCCGCAAGGCUA